rnacentral:rRNA from 1 species
UCAAGCUACUAAGGGCAUACGGUGAAUGCCUUGGCACUAAGAGCCGAUGAAGGACGUGGUAAGCUGCGAAAAGCUACGGGGAGCCGCAAGCAGGCUUCGAUCCGUGGAUGUCCGAAUGGGGAAACCCGCCAUCCGUCAUGGGAUGGCAUCCUUCGGGAGGGGAACCCGGUGAACUGAAACAUCUAAGUAGCCGGAGGAAGAGAAAUCAAACGAGAUGCCCACAGUAGCGGCGAGCGAAGAGGGCAGAGCCUAAACCAGAGAGCUUCGGCUCCCUGGGGUUACGGACUGGCAUAAACCGAGUCAGGCCUAGCCGAAUCACCUGGAAAGGUGAGCCACAGACCGUAAGAGCCGGGUAGGCGAAAGGCAGAGCAAGGGGGCCAGUAUCCAGAGUACCGCGAAGCACGAGGAAUUUUGCGGGAAGUCGGGGGGACCACCCUCCAAGGCUAAACACUCCUUAGUGACCGAUAGCGCAUAGUACCGUGAGGGAAAGGUGAAAAGAACCGCGGGAGCGGAGUGAAAGAGAACCUGAAACCGUAUGUCUACAAGCAGUCGGAGCGCAAGCGACGGCGUGCCUAUUGAAGAAUGAGCCAACGAGUUACGGGCACCAGCGAGGUUAAGCAGGAAAUGCGGAGCCGUAGGGAAACCGAGUCUGAAAAGGGCGGAUAGUUGGUGUUCGUAGACCCGAAACUGUAGUGAUCUACCCAUGAUCAGGUUGAAGCACGGGUAAAAUCGUGUGGAGGACCGAACCGGUGAGUGUUGAAAAACUUUCGGAUGAAUCGUGGGUAGCGGUGAAAUUCCAAUCGAACGCAGAGAUAGCUGGUUCUCCUCGAAAUAGCUUUAGGGCUAGCCUCAGGCAGUAAGCAUAGGCGGUAGAGCACUGAUCGGGAUAGGGACUGUAAUGGUUACCGAACCCUGUCAAACUACGAAUGGUUAUGCUGCAGAGCCUGGGAGUCAGACUACGAGAGAUAAGUCCCGUUGUCAAAAGGGAAACAGCCCAGACCAUCAGCUAAGGUCCCCAAUGCCAUACUAAGUGGAAAAGGAUGUGGGGUCUCAUAAACAACCAGGAUGUUGGCUCAGAAGCAGCCACCAUUUAAAGAGUGCGUAAUAGCUCACUGGUCGAGAGGCCCUGCGCCGAAGAUUCCCGGGGCUAAAGUAUGGAACCGAAGCUAUGGAUGCAUACGCAAGUAUGCGUGGUAGAGGAGCGUUCCCAUCGGGCUGAAGCCGUACUGGAAGGUGCGGUGGACUGGUGGGAAGUGAGAAUGUUGGCAUGAGUAGCGAAAAGAAUGGUGAGAAUCCAUUCCACCGAAAGCAUAAGGAUUCCUGAGCAACGAUCGUCGUCUCAGGGUAAGUCGGGACCUAAUCCGAGGCAAAGAGCGUAGGAGAUGGACAACUGGUCGAUAUUCCAGUACCGGCAGUGAUCGUUUGAACGAAGGAGUGACGCAGGAAGGCAGGUCCGCACGAGAUUGGUAGAUCGUGUGCAAGCGUGUAGGCUGGCAAACAGGCAAAUCCGUUUGCUGAGGCUGAGGCGUGACGCGGAGGGAACUUGUUCCCGAAGGGAUUGAGCCUACGCUGCCGAGAAAAGCUUCUAGUGAGAAAGCUGCCGCCCGUACCGUAAACCGACACAGGUAUGCGGGGAGAGAAUCCUAAGGUGCGCGGGAGAACCCUCGUUAAGGAACUCGGCAAAAUGUACCCGUAACUUCGGGAUAAGGGUAGCCACAAAGGUGAAGGGACUCGCUCCUGGAGCCCGGUGUGGUCGCAGAGAAGAGGCCCAAGCGACUGUUAACCAGAAACACAGGUGCCUGCGAAAGAGAAAUCUGAAGUAUAGGUGCUGACACCUGCCCAGUGCUGGAAGGUUAAAGAAGGAUGUCCGGGUUCGACCCAAAGCAUUCGACUGAAGCCCCAGUGAACGGCGGCCGUAACUAUAACGGUCCUAAGGUAGCGAAAUUCCUUGUCGGGUAAGUUCCGACCCGCACGAAAGGUGUAACGAUUUGGGCACUGUCUCAACGAGGGACCCGGUGAAAUUGAAAUACCUGUGAAGAUGCAGGUUACCCGCGACUGGACAGAAAGACCCCAUGGAGCUUUACUGUAACCUAAUAUUGGGUUCUGAUACUUGAUGCACAGGAUAGGUGGGAGGCAUGGAAGGCAGUCCUCUGGGAUUGCCGGAGCCGCCGUUGGGAUACCACCCUUCAAUUAUCGGGAUUCUAACCGAGCGAGCAACGAUCGCCGGGACAGUGUUAGGCGGGCAGUUUGACUGGGGCGGUCGCCUCCUAAAGAG